AAGGCGAGGGAGGGGAGCGCCGCGCAGCGCGGGUGGGCGCCUGGAGCAGCCCGGUGCCCGCGGGCUGGGCGCGGAGCCGAGUGGGGCUCCCCCCGCCGGCCGCUGUGCCGCGACGAGGCGGCGCUCGCAUCCCGGAGGGGCCCGGCCUCGACCAGGAAGUACACUCGUGUACGCCGUGUUGGCACAGCCACACUGCCCACGUCGUCUGGUGCUGCCGUGCUGUCAAGGUCUGUGUGUUGACAGGCACCGUCCUGGCUUCCUUCCACAAUCACGCUGAUCCACAAGAGCAUGGUAUCGGGGGACACUGUCAUCGUACCUGGAACGCUGGAAGAACCCGCACUGAGGCCAAGAAAAAAAAAAGACAAGGUUAGGUUUAAGUUGCCGUGAAAGUACUACAACGAAAUUCUUCUUUUGCAGAGACUUACAGUUUUGGCCACAGUGGUACAGAGGUGAUGACUAGGAGAAGACACUUGACAUGACGUGCUUAUGGGUCGCAGAAGUCAAGAUUAAAGGUAAGAGACAUUGUGUCAUCUGGCUGUCAUUACAUAUUACUAGAAAAAAGAAAGUGGCAACAUUUUGUUCAUAGUAUUUGAGGUGGUAGAAUCUCGGGUUUAUUGUUGUGUUGUUUUUUUUUUUCAAAUCUAUUAUAAUUUAAGUAGGUAUAUAUUAAAAAAUAAAUUGAGGCAUAGACCAAAUUUUUUGGCCAUCUCUUAGAGAAGAUUUCAUACACACAGUUUUGAUAGAUUUUGGUUAAGAAUUCCUCCCCAAUCCCUCAUGUCAAAGCAUCUUUAAUUAGUAUCCUGUACAUGCAUGUAUUCUCUUAAGUUGAGUGCAGGUUGCUAGAAGCAUAAAUGGUCAUGCAUCGUAGUAGCUUCAGCGAAGAAAAGUUUCUACCUAGAAAAGUAUGGUGUAGAAUAGAAGGAAAAAAGGUGGUUCCACAACAAUUAACUUUUCUUUAUGAAAACCCCUUUCAUUAAUGAGCAAUGUGUAUUUUUAAGCAUGCGCUAAAGGUUAAUAAAGCAAGUUUAUCUUCCACAUACUUUAGCUUUAAGUAUUAACUCUGCAGUGUUGAUUACCACCUCUAAAGCUUAAAAACUAACUUGUACUGUUAAAACAUCAAUUCAAAAAAAGACUAAAAUCCAUUGCAACAGAUGUUUUCUAAAGGUGUUUUUUUCGACCAAGGUAAACACCUGUGUUUAUGUGUACCAAAAGGUGAAUAUCUAUUAAUAGAAUGAGCAAGCAAGUACUGAUAGUCCGUAAUCCAAAAGUUAACAGAACAUUAGCAGCAAAAGCUUCAUCGUUAGCCACUGCAACCAUAGCAUGUGCCACCACAGCUAAAAAUUAAAUAUCAUUGAUUACCAAUUAUAGGAGUAGACCAAUACUACGCAUCAGAAGUAAGCCUCUCUUUAUCAGAUGGCUGAGCAUGGAUCUCAGCCUUGUGAUAUGUGGCAUCGUAAUGAUCUUUCUUAUUUCUCUUGAAGAAACCACACUACAAGGAAGCAAGGUAUUUAGUCAUUUUUUUGUGGACUGGAAAAAGUUAAAACUAUUAGAACUGACUUGAGUAACUGAUCUAUCUUUUCAUAAUCUCUUCAUGGGAUUGUUAUCUGAAAAGAAUCGAGAGAACUCUUAGCUGUAUCUAGAUUUGAGAACUCUGGGACUAACUUAAUCUGUAAAAUAGUAUAAUCUGGGAUAAGGAAUAUUAUUUUGAUAAAUUUUUAAUACAUCAUUUUUUCAAGAAAAGCUACUCUACCGUGUAUUUGUAGCAACUAAAACUGUCUGUGAAGAGCAGUAAGAUAUCUAUAUGGAAACCAGUUUAUGGACUACUGCACAGGGUAAAUAAAGAACAAAAAUAUGAGUUACUGAUUUUACCUGUACAACACAAGCAUUUGUCUUAUACCCAGUCAUGCAAUUGUCUAUGAUGUGCCAUGUUUGUCCUUCAUAAGACAGCUCAGUGUCUGUCAUUGAAAGAAGCAUUUCACACUGUGUGUGAAUGCAUGCAUUUUCAUGUGCAGUAGAAAACUAAUAUGUGUAACCUAACAGCCCACGCAAGGCCUUAAUUGUAAUUCAUUAGGAAGAUUUGCAGCAGAGGCUGGGCAUUUUUUGGAAAGAAGGAAGUCAAGCAUCCUUUGAGAAGUAAUCUGUAGCAAACAGUAAGUCUUCAACAAAGCCACAACUGCUCCAGUGACAGAAAGGAUAUCCCUUUUCACCUAUUCUUUUGUAGUAAGAUUCUCCUAUCCCAUAGCAACAUUAACUGCCUACAACAGUAAAUAGUAAGAAUAAAAGAACUACUCUGUUAUACUUGGAACCAUAUUUUAACUUUUAGUUUUAAAUAUUUAUUCCUUAAGGGUUUCUCAGAUAAAUAGCCAAUACUGAAGAAAUUGAACAAUAUAUUUGCUUAUGUGCUACUUUUGCACAUUCUGGUUAUUUUCAUCUACUAUGUCUUUAAUGGUAUUUCUAAUGUUAUGAGAACAAAGCCCUGUUAAAAUACUGAUAGAGAGUUCAGUUUUAAACCUAACCACAGAAGCCUCACUUAUUAUCCAUCCAUAUCAAUGUAUCUAUAGUCUCUGGCCACCUUAUGAAGCUUUGUCUAGACCUCAAAAAAACCUCCUUUCAAGGAUCUGGAUACAGAAAAAAAUCCUAUCAACUAUAGCAACAAGUCUUCUCUUAUGACCACUUUUAUUCCAAAUGUUACUAAACUGAUAAAAGUAGUGUACAGUUUAGGCCAUUUUGCUGUCUUUUGGGUCCUAAAUGCAAAGCAAAAAUACUUGUUUGCUUAAUUAAUUUGCUACCUUGUCAUCUGUACAGCAGGACAUGUUAAAUAACCAGGCAACUAAAAACUUACCUUCCAUAGCAGGAAUACCAGCAGUGCAAGCAUCAGUAUUCCAGCAAAAAUAGCCACCACAAUGAUCCACCAAGGCACUCCUGUAUAAAGUGCUACUGGUUUUGCAGGAAAGACAGUGACACGCACCUAAAGGAAAGAAAGUAGGUGAAGAUGAGCAUUUCAAAAUCAUCGAAAUUUAAGAUAAAGCUGCAAUUUAUAGUUUUAUUUUCUUUUUCUGACAAGAUGUCUUCUCUCAUUUGCAAAAUGCUUUUGGAAAAAAAAAUCAUAUUGGUAUCAUUUCAAUAUGGUAGUGAAUUUUGCCAACAUAAUUAAAUGUGAAAAGGUUUGUUAAUUCAAAAUUCAAUUAGAAAUCUAAUCUAUUAGGUAGAUUUGUUUUAAAAUGGUUUAUUUUUUUUCCAGUCUUUGAGAUACGUUCGUUAUGUUUGCAGCUUAACCUAUGGCUAGCAUUAAAUGUUGAACCUACCUGAGCAAUUUCAUUUGUGAGUUUAACAUUCUUAGCUGCAGCAGGAACACUGAUUGAGGCUCUAACAAGAAUGUCUAGGUAGUUCAUUUUGGAGUAUUCCUGUUCCAAAAUAAAGUACAAUUAGACAUACAACAGGAAAGAACUCUAGAAUCUUUCAAAAAUGGCAGGUAAGAGGACUUACUUCUACAAAAGUACUGUUCCAGAGUCUGGAACGCAGCAAAAUAGAUGCCUUGCUGUCAAAACCCUUCAGGGGACAUUUUAUGUCCACACAUCGUGCAUUCACAUUGCAGUCCUGCAGUUAAAAAUUUCUACGUGUAAGUAAAAACAUCUUCACAAAUUGUUAAACUGUCACCUUCUCCACCAAGAUUUAAAAUUGGAUUAUAUACAUUUUAUUUAUGUACAAGAUCCAAAAUCUGUUUGUACCAACAGCAAUACGAAAGUAAUCACAUUUCCACAUAGAUAGCCCUGCAGAAAUUCUUUCCUAGUUCCAUCUCCAUCAGUAGAUAAUACAGAAGGACAAAUUCUAAAAGUAUUAAUACUUGGUUUAGGAUAGAAACAAACUGGAGAUAGUUUCUUUCACCCUGCCAAACUCCAAAGGCCCUGUUAGGCGUGAAGCAGAAGGUAUCAAACAAGACUGUAGUUAAUGCAGUGUGCUUACCAAGGUCUUAUAUUUUCUUUCUGAGAAUAAAGAAAAUGCUUUGCUGUCUGUAAUCUGCUUCUCUGCCACCUCACGCUUUCUCCUGGAGUUAUGGGAUUCCUUGGAGAAAAAAAAGUUUUACUAUGUUAUCAUAUGUUUGUCUUGAUUCUGUUCCCCAUACAGGCAUAAACAAAGAGUCUGAUUUUUUUUUGUUUCAAGAUCAGCACAAGUGACUUCACUAUAUAAACCCUAUUUACAUAUACUCAUUGCUAACAACAGAAUCACAAAAAAUUGAUAUUAACCAAGAAAAGGUUAACUGCCUUCUUUGACAGGUCAAUGGGUUUUUAGACUUAUAAAGCUUUUAAUGUUGUUUCCAUUUUUGUUCUCUCUCUAUAUAUGGUAUUAAUGUUACUGUGCUAAUACAGUAAGAUGGUCAGUAUGAUGCAUUUAACUGCAUAUUAAUUACUUACUAGAAGUUUUAUUAACUUAUAUAGUGAUCAAGAAACUGACAAAAUGUGUUUACAUGUAUGCAGUUCAAUGGUGAAAAUUACAACUUCUCCCAAGUGACCUUGAGGUUAUAUGAGAAACAAUGAAAAUAGGACUCGAGGUUUAGAAAAAACCUUGCUAGGUAGACAUAAAGGACUAUGAAACUCUUGCUUCAGAAAUUGCUUUCAGCGUAUUUCUUGUAAGCAAUUAAAUGUAUUUACAAGCUCUUUCUCUUUCAAAAGAGUACAUGGAUUUCCCUUGGGUUGGGGAGAUGUUUGCUGUCUUUUUUCCAUGCAAGAACAGACUUCAAUAAUGUUGAUGAUGUGUUAAAGCUAACAGUACUUUCAGCCUGCAAAAGCAUAUGAAAGCAGUGCCCACUGCAGCUACAGUCACCAUGAGACAGCAGCUGUUCUGUAGCUUACCUGUAGCUGUUACAUGAAAUUGCCUCAUAAGGUUAAGAACGCAUUGUUUGUGCUUUUGACCAUCUCAAGAAAAAAAAAAAAAUUGUUCUGGAGGCAAGUUCUUACACCUUACUAUCACAAGCUAUGGUGCUUUAAUAUUGUACUUACUAGUGACCAGGAGAAGGUAGGGUAACUUACCGCAAGAUGCAAAGAAUUGAUUUCAUUCUGUGGUUGACAGGAGACUUUUUCCAAGUCUUUGGAAUCUAUUUUCAUCAAAUACAGCAGCCAUUUGCCAUUACUAAUUUCUUUUGGCCACUGGAUGUCCAGGGAAGCUGUACCAAAUGUUUUCAGUGGCCUGCCCAAGUUAGUUACCUGUUAAAAUAAACAUUAUUUCAAUUUUGUUUUAAAGGGGUUUUCUGUUUGAAAAUCAAUCACAGUUACUGACUUUGACGACUUCUAAGCAUGCAGUUAACAGGACAUUUAAAAGCCACUGAAAGACAGUUGAAACAGAACAUAAUGACAAAAGCAUAUAGUAAAACUAGCACACUUGAGUAGUAACUAAUUCUGAGCUUGAUUAUAGUAAGAUUAUAAUUCCCUAACAUUAACUUUAAGCUAUUGAUGUCUGUCUUCAUGUAAAACAACAACAACCACCCUUUAUUUUGAGAACUAAGAAAUCAUUUUAGUUACGUUACUGAGGCAAACUGAAAGUUGGAGGAACUCUGACACAGAAAGACAACCAACUCCCACUGAAAUAGUUUGGGAAUUGUUUCCCAACUUUUUUUUUCUUUCUUAGUGUUACUGCUUAUGAUAGCAAGUUAUAAAACAGAUUUUCUAACAGCUUCAACAUUAAUCCUGUAGUUAAAUACACAGGUAGAGAAGUAAAUGAAGGAUUUGACAUAGAUGGAUUUCCAGACAAUAAUCCUAACGACACAUAAAUACAGAAGGGCUUGAAUUAAUGAAAAAGCAAUCCGCUUCCAGACACACACAGAUUUCACAGAAUCAGAAUACUUUCACUUCCCCUUCUCCUCAACUUAUUAAUUAGGCAGAAGACUAAAAGGGUGAACUUAGGCUCAUGUGUUCAAAAUGGCUCCUGCAGUGUCUUCUUGUGCGUGUUCAAUCCUGCAUGCCGUAAGUACACAUAUUUGCUGUUUGCCUGCAUCAGCCAACAGCUGGUCAUGUGCAGUUAGACUUCUGGGUUUAAGUUUCCCACCUGUACGGAGUUUAUGCUGUAUACCGGAAUGCACGUGAACUGCUCUACAAGGAUGUAUACAUCCAGCCUCAUUCUGAACAGGAAGUCAGGAUUGUAGGACUAGAUCCAGCAACUUUUUCAAGUACUCAGACACAUAAAAGGAGAAGCUGUUCCUUCGAUUAAAAUAGCUAUUAGAAUUAAUUAAAUUACUCACUCUGAAUUCAUAUUCUAUGAGGCUUCCAAUGUCAUCUUCAGAUUUCAUAGCGCUCUCACCAAUGACGUUACCUCCAAAAUAUACCUGAGAAGGUUUAGCCACUCUGUUCAGGUGGGGGGGUGGAGAAAGGAGAAUAAUCAGAUUUUAAUGAAGUCUGCAGCAAAGGUGCUCUGACCCCCAAUCUGGUCUACCAACACUUACCCAGUAAGUGAUAAAAACAAUUCAAGAACCACUUUAGCACUUGCUGUAAUUGUAGUCAAAUUAGCCUGAGUGCUUGUUCUGAAAAAAAAAAAAAAAAAAAAAAAAAAAAAGCACUGUUGAUUUUAUCAAUUUAGCGGUUUUCACUUUACUAUUAAACUGCUUUUAUGUAUCAGAUCAAAUAAUUAAAAAUAUUUUUAACUGUAUGUAAAAACAGCACACAUGCAUACGCACAAAAAAAGAAAACUUACGUUUCCAGCCUCAGAUUAAUGUCUAAGUCUGUCGUAUCAACAUUAACUUUAGUGGUACUUAAGAUCAGAUAAAAUGUUACCUAGACAGGAAAGAACAUCCACAAAUAUGUAAAUAUUUUAUGGAAGAUAAUGAUAUAUGGAAUAUUAUAGCAACACACCAUCAAAUUCUGAAGUUAAAAAGACAUGCAAAUCAAAUUUCUAGUUAUGACACAGAAACUUUGGAAGACUGUAGUCAGUAAUCAAAUUAUGUAAUGUGAGAAAAAUAGGUGCAACUUACAUUGGAGUUUCUCUUGAAAGGAUUUCCAAGUUCACACUCUGCUUGAGAACCAUUUUGGUUAGCACCACAUGUUAGCUGUUUUUCCUGAAUAAGUAGAGUAUAUUUAUAAGAAAACAUACGCCCAAAGUGUUUAAAAAUUUGAGUAUCCUUUCUGUUAAAAAAUACUCACUGGAUAUCCCCUCAUCUCCCUGAAUGCGGAAUAGGUCAGACUGUCUGGAAAAGUUGCAAUUAGUUUAGCUUCAUAUGCAUCUUCACCGUCUUUUUGUGGAUUUUUUGCAUCAGAUGGAUUAUUAGUCACAGUUAUUUCCAGUGCAAUAUCUUUCUGAUCUUUCAGAACAAGCACUGGCAUGCCCUUUUCACUGCAGAAACAGAAUAUACAGGAUUCUGUGCAUUAGGAAAACAAAUGUGUUUGAAAGUUUGUUUCUUACUGUGGUUUUACCCAAAUAUAAUUCCCUCUAUUAAUGAAGAAUUACUGCAAGAGCAUAAACACAAGAAUGGUCAUAAUUUUUUGUGGCACACACACUGCUAAAGGCUGACUGUUCACAGUAAGUAAACAUACUUCCUUUAGGCUUUUUUGUUUUGUUUUUAUACCUUCUUUCUAGUAUCAUUCAGCCCUCCAGUGAGGAAGGAUGCUAUGGGAUAUAGGGGGCCUGUCACGGUGUAACAAUUUCUCCAUUUACUUCUCUGUGAGUGAUUGUCUUAAGCUACUGGAAUGUAGUACAUCACAUUGUCAUACAAUGAAAUUUCAUCUCAAAAACAAUUAACAGUACCAUACAAGAAACUGCUGCUAGGUUGCUUAUCAUUUCUCCAGUGGUUAGUAACCUUAUUUUACAUUUUAGCCUAAAUCUGCACACAGUUAUAGCCACUUUACAUCCAUCUGACUCUGUACCACAACUCUUCUUCUAAAGCUCAUCCUACUCCCCCAUGUUUGUCACCUUGACAGAUCAGUAGUACACAGGACUGUGUUUGCCAGACCAACAGAACAAAACUGUUCUAACUCCCAAAAUAGAAUAUAAAAGGUAUUUUUUUCAGUGCUUGUCAAUAAUUUGAAUUUUAGCAAUGCAUUAAUCAAGACUUACAUUGGUAAAUAGGUAAACCUGUCUUCAUUUCCUUCUCUAGUGCAAAACCGGUAUUGAAGGUUCAGGUUGCUGUGACAUUUAUUGUCUUCUCCACAUCCUUCUUUUAAGAACUCCACCUAGAUAAAACCAAAGCAUGUUUAUUGCAUGCCACAUGAUACUAACUUAAAACAAGCUUUCUGAUGUGCAGUGCAUAAAGCAUCUACAGGGAACUCAAGAAGUUCCUUGGAUAAAGUAAGAUUUUAACUUGACUCUACUUCUUACCUGUCAAGAUCUGUUUUUCUUUGUGGGCCCUAGCCCUUGAUGCUGAUAAAUUAAGAUUUUAUAUGUAACUAAAGGGCAGAAUUACAUAAAACUUGAUGCUUUACCCUUCUAAAAGAGAAGUACACUCCUAAUGUGGAAAAACAUCCUUAAAUCUGAUUCUUCAACAAGCACUGAGGAAAUAAGAUCUUCUACUCGAGGUAGGUCAUUGAGAUGGAGAGCUCUAAUACUGCUACUAGCAUCCUAACCAUGGAAGAAUUAGACUGCACAUUAUUUGUGAUGUGGGUAAGUGUGCACAGGAGAUGACAGAUUACCGUUUUUAUUCAAAAGUGUUUCCUCCUAUAUGUGUUGGUGAGGAAAAACAAAUAACAGCUAUAUCAUCCUCACCUUUUUACAGAAAAAACACAGGAUCAAAUUCAGAACAUUUUCUAAAAAGUUCUUGACAAAAGUACAAAAUAUAAGCCAGUAGUUACAAAUCCAGAGCCACACAAGUUAUUUCCGUAAAGUUCAAUGACUUAUCAAAGUACAAAUUUCUAAGAAAAUAUGCUAUUGAAGGCUUACUUUUGCGAUUGUUGUUUUAGGUUCAUUUGAAUCUAGAAUUGGUAUAAGGUCUGGAAGUGCUUUCUCUUUUCUUGUGGAUGAUGAGCUAGACUCUACGCCAGCAAUUUCAACACUGACUGAUACAGGAAUUGGGCGUAGCUUAUCUUUUACUACAUCCUGUCAAAACAUUUUAAACAGCAUAGUUAGCAUACAGUGCAGAUGAGAAAAAACACUUAAAGAUCAACUUUUGAUAUACAUUUUCAAACAAGAAGUAAAGCAACAUCUCCUUUGCACCAUUUUUCCAAUAUUAAAACUAUUCAUUAUUUAGAAACCCAUCAUUUUCUAAAAACAUGCAAGAACACAAGGAAUCCUAGCCCUACUGUCUUCAUUUUUUUCUGGCUUCCUGAUCUGACGGUUUCACUCAGAGUUAAGAAUUAUUAGGAAUAACAAAUGUUAACUCUGGCAAAUGAAACUCACACUACAACAGUAAAAUAACACUUUCUCUCUGUUGUGUAGAUGCAAGGUUUUUAAUUUCCUAUGGUCAAAAAGCAAUAUUGUAGGCUUAUUACUCCUGAGCCACAGAUAGAGAAUUUGUUCAGCUGUUGGAGUAAUGUCACUUUUAGAGGCCAUUACAGCAGUAAACUAAGAUUGCAUACCAAGCGUUCUUGUCAUGCCCAUUCAUCCUGUCCAAAACCCGUGGCCUGAAAUUCUUUUCCUAGCCAGUCACACUAUUAAAUUCUACAACCGGUACUACUGUGUUUUCUAACAACUCUCAGUUUCUGGCAUUUGUUCCCUCUUUAUUGUUCUAAAUUGUUUCAGCUCUAUUGAUCUCCAGAGAACACUGCAGUGUCUACAACUUUUAUUUAUGUUUUAAAAUAAAGGCAAUGGGAAGAAGCAACACAUGUACAGGGAAUAGUAAAGUACUACUUAGCUAUGGUUUUCUAGUGUUGAAGCCUUACAUUGCACAUGAUUUUUAGGUUGCAUACGAAGGUACCACAAGGCUGAAAGAGCAACAUACUUUUAUUUAAAUGGGUCUAAAAGAAAAAGCGAAUACUGUGCCUUACCUGCAGUACAAGCUUGGUUGUCACACACUUUUUAGAGUUCUGCCCAUUUAGGGUUGUACUUGCAUUGAACGUAUCAGACUGAUGGUCUUUAAACAGCACCCUAGAAAGCAUGUUUAAUUGCUUCCUCUCCUUUUCUGCUUCAAAUGUAUAGUUGAUCUCUAUAUGAAGAAAUAGUUUGCUAUUAAGAAGGACCUUUGCCAUAUUAAAAAAAAAAAUGGUUUAAUAAAGUCAUAGAACAGGGUGGGUUGAAAGGAACCCUAGAUAUCAUCUAGUUCCACCCCCAUCCCCUUCCAUGGGCAGGUAUGCUACCCACCAAAUCAGGUUGCCCAGGGCCUCAUUCCACCCUGGUGGUCUGGAACACCUCCAGGGAUGGAGCAUCCACAGCUUCUCCAGGCAGCCUGUUCCAGUACGUCACCACCCUCUGAGCGACGAAGUUCCUCCUAACAUCUGAUCUAAAUCUCCCCUCUUUUAGGUGAAAAACAUUUCCCCUUGUCCUAUCACUAACUGCCCACAUAAUUUCUCCAGGUAUGAUCUUACCAGCAGCAUUCUAGAAGACUUGUUACCCUCUGCUGAAUUUUACUAAUGUUUUCAGUUAUUUAAAAAACUUUCUCCACCUGCAUGUUUUGUUCCUCUCCAGUUGAGGGCCAGAUACCCUGUACAGGUCAUGUAUCUAAAGGAAACUUCCAAAGUGCUUUUAGUCAAUAAAUUCCUGUUGCUUUACUAAAAUUCAGUGCUGACUAAAGCAGCUGUAAUUGGUGUUGUAGAGCCAGUAGAGGGCUGAGAUUAAAAAAUAAAUAAAUAAAUUCAUAAAUACUCUGACUUGAUUCCUUCAUUUCUAUCUUGUCCCAAACUGCACCUAAGCAGCCAAGCAGACUUUUGAGGUCAAGGUACAUUGUUAUUUUCACACAGAAAGCAAUAGCCUAUAGCUUUCUAGCUAUGUCUGCUAAGGCAGGGAAUACCAUGUUUUUUGAUAGAUCUGAACUCUGUGCAUCUUUUAAACAUCUCUGUAUUCACCAAGCUAAUGUUGUGUUCCAAGGCUGGGAAUAGCACUGAGCAUGCCAGGCCUCAGGAAUGUGCAGAGGUGCAGGUCCAAGACCCUGUUGAAGCACAUCCUAUAGAUUUUACAAGUAAUUCAGAAUCUCAAACAACACAAGAGGAAAAAGAGGUGUGGGCUUAGAAUUCUUCUCAUUUCCUCUUGAGAUCCUACAGUUUUCUGAAGUGUAUUAACAGCAGCAUUGUAACAACUUAGACAAAAAACGGGAGACAUCAGAAACUGAUGCUUUGCAUUUUUACCAAUAUUUAUGACACAAUCUUCCAGCCUCCUAUUAAUACAGAGAUCUACUAUGUCAGUUGCUGAUUUCCACUAAGUUAUAUGCAUGAAUAUAAAACACUUUUUGUAAGUGCAAGUCCCCAAUAGGAAAUAAUGCUUAUUAAUGACAUAUAAAUUGCGCUUUAGAACUAUUUUCCAAAGCAGGAGCAGCCUGGAGAGGCAAAAUGGUUUUAGUCUGUAUGGCAGCCAUUUGCUCACUGGCAGUUAUGUGACCUAGAAAACUUCAAGUGAGUCUUUUACCCACAGAACUUCCUAACACACCAGAAUUUCUUUAUAUGACCCUAUGUGCUACUCUACAUACAGAUACCACAAUAACUAAUUGUCCUUAGUACUGAGUUGCGUUUUAAACCUGACAGUUUGAGAUGAGUCGCUAUAAUUUAGGUACUAUUCUUCCAAGAUACUCUCAAAAUUUAAUUUUUAUAUAUAUAUAAAACAAAGAUUAAAACAUACUAUCUUCAAAACUUACUUAUUCGUGGAUUUAAAUUACUGGGGUUUGCAGUAUAAUGAAAACAUGCUUCCACAUCCAUCCUGUAAAAAGUGCCAAGAAAUUAAAAUUAACUUUAAUAAGGCACGGUCCAACAGACUGAAAAGUUUUAAUAGUCCACUGAAUGAUAUCAUCACAGCUUAUGACUGUGGUUUUCACACUAGAACUGUCAUUUGCUGCUUACUAAACUGAAUUACAAAGCAAGGAAAGAUGUUUAAUGAGCAAUUAGUAAUGAUAUUUUCUGACACUUGCUUUUACAUCUCUACUCAUGAGAAAUCAGUUCUAGGUAAGAUAUUUUAAGAUACCUGAAGUCCUAAGUGGCAAAGUGACAUUAAUUUUUCAAAAACAUGCAUUGUAAACAGAAUGUAUUCCACAUGAAGUCUUUAGCACUAGUCACAACAAAUUCAGGAAGUCAAAAUGACCACAUGUAGAUACAUUUGCUUCAUCUGCACAACUGUCAUAUCCCCUCACCUUAAUAUAGUCACUGUUUUGUGAUACAUUUUGACAACAGAAAGCUCAAUACACCAAUGUUCCCGAUAGAAUAAUAGAAUAAUUUUUAAAUUACCAUAUUUCACCAGGGUCCUCAGAGUUCCUUUUAUUUAGAUCAAGUUUGUCAGGAUGUACUGUAAUGCUUUUCUUAAUGCUUAUGACAGGCCGAGAUCUUUAUUUGGGGGAAAAAUGGGGAAAGAAAAUAAAGGUCAAAAAAAAAGUUUCAGUUAAGAUUAAUGAAAUAAUUCAUGUGAAUCCGAGAUGCCCCCUAUUCCUGCACUAAUUUGCAGCAAAGACAAGAAACAUGGGUUUUAGGUUUUGCAGUAGUAAAAAAAAAAAAAAAAAAAAAAAAAAA